rnacentral:rRNA from 1 species
GAUGAACGCUAGCGGCAGGCCUAAUACAUGCAAGUCGAACGGUAACAUGAGUAGCAAUACUUGAUGACGAGUGGCGCACGGGUGCGUAACGCGUAUGCAAUCUACCUUUAACUGGUGAAUAGCCCGAAGGAAUUCGGAUUAAUACACCAUAGUAUAUUUGAAUAGCAUCAUUUAAAUAUUAAAACUCCGGUGGUUAAAGAUGAGCAUGCGUGACAUUAGCUAGUUGGUGAGGUAAUGGCUCACCAAGGCGACGAUUUCUAGAGGAUCUGAGAGGAUUAAACCCCACACUGGUACUGAGACACGGACCAGACUCCUACGGGAGCCAGCAGGAAGAAAUAUUGGAGAAUGGUAGGAAGACUGAUCCAGCCAUGCCUCGUGAAGGAUGACGGCCCUAUGGGUUGUAAACUUCUUUUGUAUAAGAAAAAACCCUUCUACCAGUAGAAGGCUGAUGGUAACAAAAGAAUAAGGAUCGGCUAACUCCGUGCCAGCCGCCGCCGUAA